GAGAGAGGGAAAGCAAGGGCUGCCAUAUUUUUCUAGAGAAGAAGAAGAAGAAAAGAAAGAGAAGGAGAAGAAGAAGAGGGUUUCGAACCCUAGGUGACAAGGUUUUCUUGCUAAAGUGUUCUUGAUUUUACAAUCAAGAGAGGCUCGUUGAAAGAUUGUGAAAUUCUUAGCUUGGACCUGAGGUAAG